rnacentral:rRNA from 1 species
AGUCCUGGCUCAGAUUGGAACGGCUGGCGGAAUGCUUUACACAUGCAAGUCGAACGGCAGCACGGGGCAACCUGGUGGCGAGUGGCGAACGGGUGAGUAAUACAUCGGAACGUGCCCAAUCGUGGGGGAUAACGUAGCGAAAGUUACGCUAAUACCGCAUACGAUCUACGGAUGAAAGCGGGGGAUCGCAAGACCUCGCGCGAAUGGAGCGGCCGAUGUCAGAUUAGGUAGUUGGUGGGGUAAAGGCUCACCAAGCCGACGAUCUGUAGCUGGUCUGAGAGGACGACCAGCCACACUGGGACUGAGACACGGCCCAGACUCCUACGGAGGCAGCAGUGGGGAAUUUUGGACAAUGGGCGCAAGCCUGAUCCAGCCAUUCCGCGUGCAGGAUGAAGGCCUCGGGUUGU